GAGAUGAGCUCUCAGAAGUUUCCAGACAAUCCCGGUUCAUGAAAGACGUGAAAUGAGUCAUGCUGCAGGGCUGUUCAGGGAAGGUCAUCAUCUCUCACGGGAAACCAUUUAUUUUGCUAUUAGCUGUAAUCAUUUUACCAAAAAUCACCGUGACACCCCAAAACAUUAGAAGAGACCCGCUUGUUUUUUUGCUGACGUCUGCGAGCGUACUUCGUAUUCGCACUUGUACGUCCUAUUUUGUAAUUGAGCCUAGCAAAGCGCCUCCUCUUCGGGCAAGUAUCCCGGCAACCAGAUAACAGAAGAGGGAAAACAUCCUCACGCCGCUGCCAUCAGACAGACGAGCCGCAUUUCUGCCAAACACUCAUCUUUAAAACAUCUCCCGGGGUUGUGUCGGAGCCAAAAUGCCGGCUUCUGAGUCACGGCUCCGAGAUGCGGGGGCUGGGGGUGGCUGCAGGGAGUGCUGCAGACGAAAGCCGGGACCAAGCCGAGCUGAAACUUGUGUCGAAACACCACUGCGCUGUGGCCAGUGUUACCAUGCCAACCGAGCCCUGCACCUGGCCACAACCGGCUGGAAGGUACGCCCCACGCUCAGCGCCUCUGUCCACGCAACACUCCAGCCCAAAACAAAUCCAGUCUGUCACUCGUUUGACACAGAAAGCCUCUCAUCGAUUCCCCGUGGGCUCAUCUGUUCCGCCCUCCCCGCCAACACACCCACCCCGUCAAAAGAGCACCCCCCCCCCCCCAAGCCAUGUUUCUGGAUGCACGCAACGUUCCAACCCAGACAGAGAUGCACACAGGCUGGAUUAAUUCUGCGAGCUAUGCAAAGGACCUGAAGCUCUAAAACUGUUUCUGAGGACAGACGAUGGGAUUCUGGGAUCAUUCACACAGGAAUUUCUUGGAAUAAAUAAGUUUAGUAAUAACUAAACGCAAGCUUCAAUGAGUUAAAUCUGAAAAGAUCUCAAGACUUUUUCCCUGUACCAGACAAAAGAAAACAUUGCAUUAUUGGCAUGCAGAUGCAUUGGGUGGGGCAUUUAGUGGGAAAUAAAUAUCUUCGACUACAAGUUA